AGUGAACGCUGGCGGUAGGCCUAACACAUGCAAGUCGAACGGCAGCACAGUAAGAGCUUGCUCUUACGGGUGGCGAGUGGCGGACGGGUGAGGAAUACAUCGGAAUCUACUUUUUCGUGGGGGAUAACGUAGGGAAACUUACGCUAAUACCGCAUACGACCUACGGGUGAAAGCAGGGGAUCUUCGGACCUUGCGCGAUUGAAUGAGCCGAUGUCGGAUUAGCUAGUUGGCGGGGUAAAGGCCCACCAAGGCGACGAUCCGUAGCUGAUCUGAGAGGAUGAUGGCCAACAGUGGAGUGGAGAGACGGUCGAGAGCACGAAGGGAGCCAGCAGUGGGGAAGCUUGCGCAAGGGGCGAAAGCCGGAUGGAGCUAUGGCGAGUGAGUAAAGAAGGUAUUCGGAUAUUAAAACUCUGGGAUUAGGGAAGAAAAAAGGUGCAAGGAACUAUGCACGCCUGGACGGUACCUAAUCAGAGAGACACGGCUAACUACGUG
rnacentral:rRNA from 1 species